GACUAUCAAAGCAAACAGAGCUCUUACAGUUGGUGACAAAGGAAAUUUCCCAGAUGUGGUUGGUGUCAUGAAGGAAGGAGGAACACCAACAUAAAAUUUCAACACCUACUGAUGGGUGUUUGGGCUUUACCGGGUCAAGCUAAUGACGUUAAAAGAGUGCUUGCUGGGAGGCAACCCAGUUUCUGAAUUUUUUUUAUCUUUAAUUUCGUUUUGAUUUUAUUUUAUUUUAUUUUUAUUUUAUUUUCUUUUAUUUGAUUUUUUUUAUUUGAUUUUAUUUGAUUUGUUUUUUUUAUUUUUUUUUAUUAUUUUUUUUUGGGUUAUGCGUUGCUUCUGAUGGCAGUGAUGAUAGCAUCUACUGAUGGAUGCUUCUACAACAUCUACUGAUGGAUGUUAGAUGAUAUGGCAUCUACUGAUGGAUGCCAAUGAAGAUUAAAAGGAUUAGCAUUUACUGAUGAAUGCUAUCGGGAUAGCAUCUAUUGGGGGAUGUUAGAAGAUAUAGGUAUCCACUGAAGGAUAUCCGGAAGGUACACCUACUGAUGGGUGGUGGAAGGUAGUGCACUUACUGACAAGUGCUAACCAGGUUUGGCUCAGGCUCGUGACGUUAAACAAGCGCUACUAGGAGGCAACCUAGAUUUCUUCUUACACUUUUGCAUUUUAAAUU
rnacentral:lncRNA from 1 species